rnacentral:rRNA from 1 species
AUUCCUACGGGAGGCAGCAGUGGGGAAUAUUGCACAAUGGGCGCAAGCCUGAUCCAGCCAUGCCGCGUGCGGGAAGAAGGCCUUCGGGUUGUAAACCGCUUUUAGUCGGGAAGAAAAGGCAAGGGUUAACACCUCUUGUUCUUGACGGUACCGGCGGAAUAAGCACCGGCUAACUACGUGCCAGCAGCCGCGGUAAUAAU